GAUGAACGCUAGCGGCAGGCCUAACACAUGCAAGUCGAGGGGUAACUAGCGUGAUAGCAAUAUUACUUUGGCUAGACCGGCGCACGGGUGCGUAACACGUAUGCAACCUACCUUAUACUGGGGCAUAACUUCGAGAAAUCGGCGCUAUAACCCAUAACACUGCGGCGAGGCAACUCUUUGCAGUUAAAGCUCCGGCGGUAUAAGAUGGGCAUGCGUCCAAUUAGCUAGUUGGUGAGGUAACGGCUCACCAAGGCUACGAUUGGUAGGGGUUCUGCGAGGAUGAUCCCCCACACGGGUACUGAGACACGGACCAGACUCCUACGGGAGGCAGCAGUGAGGAAUAUUGCGCAAUGGACGAAAGUCUGACGCAGCCAUGCCGCGUGCAGGAUGACGGCCCUAUGGGUUGUAAACUGCUUUUGUACGGGAAUAAACCCUUCUACGUGUAGGAGGCUGAAGGUACCGUAAGAAUAAGCACCGGUUAACUCCGUGCCAGCCGCCGCGGUAA
rnacentral:rRNA from 1 species